UUGGCCUGCUGAUGCAGAGUGGUGCAUGGCUGUCGUCAGCUCGAUGUCGUGAGAUGUUGGGUUAAGUCCCGCAACGAGCGCAACCCCUAUCUUAUGUUGCCAGCGCGUUAUGGCGGGGACUCGUAAGAGACUGCCGGGGUCAACUCGGAGGAAGGUGGGGAUGACGUCAAGUCAUCAUGCCCCUUAUGUCCAGGGCUUCACACAUGCUACAAUGGCCGGUACAGAGGGCUGCGAAUCCGUAAGGUGGAGCGAAUCCCUUCAAAGCCGGUCUCAGUUCGGAUCGGGGUCUGCAACUCGACCCCGUGAAGUCGGAGUCGCUAGUAAUCGCAGAUCAGCAACGCUGCGGUGAAUACGUUCCCGGGCCUUGUACACACCG
rnacentral:rRNA from 1 species